UCGUGAGUUAAUGUCGUUUAACGUGUUGGGUCUGCAUACAUUGUCUCCUUCCUUGUACGCGUGACUCUCGUGACCGUGUUUCUGUGCUCCACAUUGAGUUGCUCCACACGCCGGCAAAAUAUCAAAAGUCAUUCCUGUGCUGAUCAUGAAUUUUCGACCGUUUGAUAGGCAGACCCAUGCGGGUGAUUUCUUUUUCUUCUUUACUUUUUUUUUUUCCUUCCUGAAUCUUGCAUUUUAUCAAAAAUACAAUGUUAAUCAAACACCUCCCCAAACUUGAUCUGU
rnacentral:lncRNA from 1 species